AUUGAACGCUGGCGGCAUGCCUUACACAUGCAAGUCGAACGGCAGCACGGGAGCAAUCCUGGUGGCGAGUGGCGAACGGGUGAGUAAUAUAUCGGAACGUGCCCAGUCGUGGGGAUAACGUAGCGAAAGCUACGCUAAUACCGCAUACGAUCUAUGGAUGAAAGCGGGGGAUCGCAAGACCUCGCGCGAUUGGAGCGGCCGAUAUCAGAUUAGGUAGUUGGUGAGGUAAAGGCUCGCCAAGCCGACGAUCUGUAGCUGGUCUGAGAGGACGACCAGCCACACUGGGACUGAGACACGGCCCAGACUCCUACGGAGGCAGCAGUGGGAAUUUUGGACAAUGGGCGCAAGCCUGAUCCAGCAAUGCCGCGUGCAGGAUGAAGGCCUCGGUUGUAAC
rnacentral:rRNA from 1 species